rnacentral:lncRNA from 1 species
GGCGGAGCCCGGUACCGGGGCUCUUGGAGCCGGGCCCGGGCCCGCAUCCGGCAGCGCCCCGAUAGCGCUUAUCGGGGGCACCGGGCGGCGCCGCGCCCCGCCCGCGCCGCGGCCCCUUUAAGGCGCGGCCGCCCCCCCCCGCUGCGGGGGGGGGAGGGGGCGUGGCCAUCGGGCGAGGCCCCGCCCCUCGCCCCUCUCUUAAAGCCGCAGAGCGCCCCGAGAGCCCCGCUAACGACGCAGGUCCCGCCGCGAUGCUGCUGCUCCGCGCAGUCACCGGGCGCAGGCUCCCGCUGCCGCUGCCCCGCCGCGGCUGUUCCCGGACGGGCGCCGCCCGCUUCGCCGCC